GAUGAACGCUGGCGGCGUGCCUAAUACAUGCAAGUCGAGCGAACAGAUGAGGAGCUUGCUCCUCUGACGUUAGCGGCGGACGGGUGAGUAACACGUGGAUAACCUACCUAUAAGACUGGGAUAACUUCGGGAAACCGGAGCUAAUACCGGAUAAUAUAUUGAACCGCAUGGUUCAAUAGUGAAAGACGGUUUUGCUGUCACUUAUAGAUGGAUCCGCGCCGCAUUAGCUAGUUGGUAAGGUAACGGCUUACCAAGGCAACGAUGCGUAGCCGACCUGAGAGGGUGAGCGGCCACACUGGAACUGAGACACGGUCCAGACUCCUACGGGAGGCAGCAGUAGGGAAUCUUCCGCAAUGGGCGAAAGCCUGACGGAGCAACGCCGCGUGAGUGAUGAAGGUCUUCGGAUCGUAAAACUCUGUUAUUAGGGAAGAACAAAUGUGUAAGUAACUAUGCACGUCUUGACGGUGCCUAAUCAGAAAGCCACGGCUAACUACGUG
rnacentral:rRNA from 1 species